GUCCACGCCCUAAACGAUGUCUACUAGUUGUUGGGUCUUAAUUGACUUAGUAACGCAGCUAACGCGUGAAGUAGACCGCCUGGGGAGUACGGUCGCAAGAUUAAAACUCAAAGGAAUUGACGGGGACCCGCACAAGCGGUGGAUGAUGUGGAUUAAUUCGAUGCAACGCGAAAACCUUACCUACCCUUGACAUGGAUGGAAUGCCGAAGAGAUUUGGCAGUGCUCGCAAGAGAACCAUCACACAGGUGCUGCAUGGCUGUCGU
rnacentral:rRNA from 1 species